AAAAUGGCUCUCAUCAGAGCCACCUUGGAUCCCAAAUAGGAAGAUGU
rfam:Sorghum bicolor cultivar BTx623 chromosome 3, whole genome shotgun sequence.